GAUGAACGCUAGCUACAGGCUUAACACAUGCAAGUCGCAGGGUAACAUGAGGAAAGCUUGCUUUCCUUGAUGACGACUGGCGCACGGGUGAGUAACGCGUAUCCAACCUUCCCAUAACUACGGGAUAACCCGUUGAAAGACGGCCUAAUACCGUAUGAUAUCGUUUGCUGACAUCAAAUAACGAUUAAAGGUUUAGCGGUUAUGGAUGGGGAUGCGUCUGAUUAGCUUGUUGGCGGGGUAACGGCCCACCAAGGCAACGAUCAGUAGGGGUUCUGAGAGGAAGGUCCCCCACAUUGGAACUGAGACACGGUCCAAACUCCUACGGGAGGCAGCAGUGAGGAAUAUUGGUCAAUGGGCGAGAGCCUGAACCAGCCAAGUAGCGUGCAGGAAGACGGCCCUAUGGGUUGUAAACUGCUUUUAUGUGGGGAUAAAGUGCGUGACGUGUCAUGCAUUGCAGGUACCACAUGAAUAAGGACCGGCUAAUUCCGUGCCAGCAGCCGCGGUAAAAGGG
rnacentral:rRNA from 1 species